CUCUCCCUGAGCUGAGCAGAGGGGGCGGUGUCGGAGGCGUCUCAGCCAACCAGGGCCGCAAGCCAGAAUCUCCAUGGUAACCGCCGAAGCCCACUCACUUCGGCGAUGCUCCCAGUGGAGGCAGAAGCUUGCAUCCGAGCAGAUACUUCAAAAGCCAUCCAGAGGUCGACUGAGUUUGUUUUUAAUCUGCCAAGAGCUCAGGCGGCCUGGAAUGCUGAGUGAAGAAUAUGUGGCGCGGAAGAGAUCCACGAAGUACUUCAGCCCCUGAAAACAAUCAAGUCCCAGUGUCAGGGCCUUUGCAGCAGUAACAGUGGGGAGUCCUGUCCUGCUGUUUAUUUUCUCAUUUUCUCUCUUUGGCCAAAGAGCAUGAUAGAUCCCUAUUGUAACUGCGAAUGUUUGUUUUCUGAUUACAAAUGUGACAGCAUGUUCAUUGUGCAAAUUUUGAAAAAUGCAGAAAAA